GCCGGGGUGGCGGAAUUGGCAGACGCAAGGGACUUAAAAUCCCUUGGGGUAACGUACCCCGUGCGGGUUCAAGUCCCGCCCCCGGCA
rnacentral:tRNA from 1 species